rnacentral:rRNA from 1 species
AACGAACGCUGGCGGCAGGCUUAACACAUGCAAGUCGAGCGCGUAGCAAUACGAGCGGCAGACGGGUGAGUAACGCGUGGGAAUCUACCCAACCCUACGGAAUAACACAUGGAAACGUGUGCUAAUACCGUAUACGCCCUUAGGGGAAGAUUAUCGGGGAUGGAUGAGCCCGCGUUGGAUUAGCUAGUUGGUGGGGUAAAGCCUACCAAGGCGACGAUCCAUAGCUGGUCUGAGAGGAUGAUCAGCCACAUUGGGACUGAGACACGGCCCAAACUCCUACGGGAGGCAGCAGUGGGAAUAUUGGACAAUGGGCGCAAGCCUGAUCCAGCCAUGCCNCGUGAGUGAUGAAGGUCUUAGGAUUGUAAA